GCCCGCCUAGCUCAAUCGGAUAGAGCGUCAGACUCUUAGAGCGCGGGUGAAUACACGCCGUUAAGUGUAAUCUGAAGGCUGCGAGUUCGACCCUCGCGGUGGGCU
rfam:Phanerochaete carnosa HHB-10118-sp unplaced genomic scaffold PHACAscaffold_8, whole genome shotgun sequence.